GACGGAGUAUGCAAGCGUUAUCCGGAAUGAUUGGGCGUAAAGCGUCCGCAGGUGGCAGUUCAAGUCUGCUGUCAAAGACCGGGGCUUAACUUCGGAAAGGCAGUGGAAACUGAACAGCUAGAGUAUGGUAGGGGCAGAGGGAAUUCCUGGUGUAGCGGUGAAAUGCGUAGAGAUCAGGAAGAACAUCGGUGGCGAAGGCGCUCUGCUGGACCAUAACUGACACUCAGGGACGAAAGCUAGGGGAGCGAAUGGG
rnacentral:rRNA from 1 species